UGCCGGGUCCUACGCGACGCGGUCCCGCCAACCCCGCCAGGUCCGGAAGGAAGCAACGGUAACGGGUCACCACGGGCGCAGUAGGCUAACCCGGCGCAU
rnacentral:SRP_RNA from 1 species